rnacentral:rRNA from 1 species
ACUCAAAUGAAUUGACGGGGGCCCGCACAAGCGGUGGAACAUGUGGUUCAAUUCGACGCAACGCGAAGAACCUUACCUGGGCUCGAAGUGCCCGUGACCAUCCCCAGAAAUGGGGACUUCCCGCAAGGGACACGGGUAGAGGUGCUGCAUGGCUGUCGUCAGCUCGUGCCGUGAGGUGUUGGGUUAAGUCCCGCAACGAGCGCAACCCUUGUCCUUAGUUGCCACCCGUAAGGGGGAACUCUAAGGAGACUGCUUCGGAUAACGGAGAGGAAGGUGGGGAUGACGUCAAGUCAGCAUGGCCUUUAUGUCCAGGGCUACACACGUGUUACAAUGCGCGCCACAAAGCGUCGCGAACCCGCGAGGGGGAGCCAAUCGCAAAAAAGCGCGCUCAGUUCGGAUUGCAGUCUGCAACUCGACUGCAUGAAGCCGGAAUCGCUAGUAAUGGCGCAUCAGCACGGCGCCGUGAAUACGUUCCCGGGCCUUGUACACACCGCCCGU